CGGACGGAGGAUAAAAGAUCGUUUUCUGACCUUAUGCAGCAUCGGACUGCAGGAUGAAAAUUAUGAUUAGCAUCACACUACAGGCUACCCUGAGGUACUGCUGGCGGGUUUACAUGCAUUUAGGAGGUGACAGGCUCCCUUUAAUUUGAUG